AAAGCAAUUGCAAUGUCACACAGUGCGGUGCCCACUGCCCGUUCCACCACAUUUCGUUGGUCUCCACUAACGAAAAUAAUAUGAGAGAGAGAGUGAAAGAUGAAAAUGCCGUCUUCUUUGAUGAGCCUAUAAAUAUUUGAAAAAGACACUUGUCGCGAAUAAAAAACGCAGCUCUCUGUUGCCCCCUUAGCUCCACUGUUGGCCAGAGAGUCCUUUACUUUGCAGGGAAAUAUAUAACCUUGAACUACUGUAUGCUGCAUAGGCAGGCCCAUAGAGAGAGAGGUACUGAUGGAUACUUACACGGUGCAUCUGGCCAUGGCCGCGCUGGUAGGAGCUUCGCUUGUGGCUGUAUCGGCGUAUUAUAUGCACCGGAAAACCCUAACUCAGUUGCUGGAGUUUACCAAGACGGUUGAGAGAGAAAGAGAGAGGGAGAGGGAUGAAAACUCUGAUGGAGAAUCGCCGCAGCAUGUGAAGAAACGCCGUAGCUAUGCCCCGAGGAAAGGAGGCGGCUACUAUCGCCGUGGCUCUGCGUCGCUGCCGGAUGUCACGGCCUUUUCUCGUGGCAGUGGAGGAGUCGAUGAAGAGGAGAAGCAGAAUGGUAUUCUGCAUGUUGAUGGGAUUCCCCCUGGGUUGCCUAGGUUGCAUACGCUGCCUGAAGGGAAAGCUGCUAGCCAUGUCAAGAGACCUGGAAGUCUUAUUAGACCAACUUCCCCAAAAUCUCCUGUUCCUAGUGCUAGUGCCUUUGAGAGUAUGGAUGGAUCAGAUGAAGAUGAUAAUAUGAAUGACAAUGCUAAGCUAGACACGACCUAUCUCCAUACCAAUGGAAUUGCUGGUCCUGAGUCUAAAGGCCUAUUUGAGAAUUUGCCAGAACACGCUAAUGCCAAUGGGGAGCAAAUUCCUAUACCUGCUUCAAGCAUGAUUCGAUCCCACAGUAUCUCUGGUGACUUGCAUGGGGUACAGCCUGAUCCUAUUGCAGCUGAUAUUCUUAGAAAAGAGCCAGAACAAGAAACUUUUGCUAGGCUUAAAAUUUCCCCUACCGAGGUACCAUCUCCUGAUGAAGUGGAGUCCUAUAUAGUUCUUCAAGAAUGCCUUGAAAUGCGAAAAAGAUAUUUAUUUAAGGAAGCAAUUGCUCCAUGGGAAAAAGAAGUUAUUUCUGACCCCAGUACACCAAAACCUAAUCCAGAGCCAUUCUUCUAUGCUCCGGAGGGAAAGUCUGAUCAUUAUUUUGAGAUGCAAGAUGGAGUCAUCCAUGUGUAUGCAAAUAAAGACUCUAAGGAAGAACUCUUUCCUGUUGCUGAUGCAACAAACUUCUUCACUGAUUUGCAUCACAUACUUCGAGUUAUUGCGGCUGGGAAUAUCAGAACUUUAUGCCAUCAUCGGCUUAAUCUUCUAGAACAAAAAUUCAACCUUCAUUUGAUGCUUAAUGCGGAUAGGGAGUUUCUUGCUCAGAAAAGUGCUCCUCAUCGUGACUUCUAUAAUGUCAGGAAAGUGGAUACACAUGUUCAUCAUUCAGCGUGCAUGAACCAAAAACAUCUUUUAAGGUUUAUUAAGUCAAAAUUGAGGAAAGAGCCUGAUGAGGUUGUGAUAUUUCGGGAUGGGACUUACCUGACUUUAAAGGAAGUGUUUGAGAGCUUGGAUUUGACUGGGUCUGACCUUAAUGUUGACCUUUUGGAUGUUCAUGCUGACAAGAGCACAUUUCAUCGCUUUGAUAAAUUCAACCUUAAGUACAAUCCUUGUGGUCAGAGUAGGCUAAGGGAGAUUUUCCUUAAACAGGACAAUCUUAUCCAAGGUCGUUUCUUGGCUGAGCUGACAAAAGAAGUGUUUUCUGAUCUUGCUGCAAGUAAAUAUCAGAUGGCUGAAUAUCGAUUAUCAAUAUAUGGCCGGAAGCAAAGUGAAUGGGACCAAUUAGCUAGCUGGAUAGUGAACAAUGAAUUGUACAGUGAGAAUGUGGUUUGGUUAAUUCAGCUUCCAAGACUGUACAAUGUGUACAAGGAAAUGGGGAUUGUGACCUCAUUCCAGAACAUUCUUGACAAUAUCUUUAUUCCACUCUUUGAAGUUACUGUGGAUCCCGAUUCACAUCCACAGCUGCAUGUUUUCUUAAAACAGGUUGUUGGAUUGGAUUUGGUUGAUGAUGAAAGCAAGCCUGAAAGACGCCCCACAAAGCACAUGCCUACACCAGCUCAAUGGACCAAUGUGUUCAAUCCUGCAUAUUCAUAUUAUGUGUACUAUUGUUAUGCCAACCUAUACACAUUAAACAAGCUUCGUGAAUCAAAAGGCAUGACAACAAUCAAAUUCCGUCCACAUUCUGGAGAGGCUGGUGAUAUUGACCAUCUUGCUGCUACAUUUCUGACGGCUCAUAACAUUGCACAUGGAAUCAAUCUGAGAAAGUCUCCUGUACUUCAAUAUUUAUACUAUCUAGCACAGAUUGGUCUGGCAAUGUCUCCUCUGAGCAACAAUUCUCUAUUUUUAGACUACCAUCGGAAUCCAUUUCCUAUGUUCUUCCUCUGUGGUCUCAAUGUUUCCCUUUCAACAGAUGAUCCACUCCAAAUUCACCUAACAAAGGAACCUUUGGUGGAAGAAUAUAGCAUAGCUGCUUCUGUAUGGAAGUUGAGUUCUUGUGAUCUAUGUGAAAUAGCCCGGAAUUCAGUAUACCAAUCAGGUUUCUCACAUGUUCUGAAGGUAUGCACUUUGGCCUACCUUGAUAGAAGAUGCAGGAAUUUGGCAAGUGGGGGAUAUGAGUUUGACCCCACCUGUGGCAAUAAUAAUGAAGAUGGGGGUGGUUGGCAAUGAACGAUGAUUGUGGUCCGUCACACUGGAUUGGGAAAGAGUACUACAAGAGAGAGCCAGAUGGAAAUGACAUUCGCAGGACAAAUGUGCCUCACAUCCGGGUGGAAUUUCGUGAUACGAUAUGGAGAGAGGAGAUGCAACAGGUUUAUCUUGGCAAGGCCAUUUUCUCCGAGUGGACAAGUAAAUAGCAAGGAAUUGCUCAUAUAUAAUCAUAAAGAAUUUUGAGAAGGGCAGCAUGCACUUGAUCAUACUUAUGAGCUCAGAGCUGGUCAGUUCAAAGUUCGAACAAUAUGCCAAGAGAAAAUGAACAUGGUUGGAGAAUCAAGACCCUAUACCUGAUAAAAUUGCUGAUGUUGAGAUCUUCCAUAUCUCAGAUGACAUGGAUUACAGCAACAAAAUGCCGACGUUGUGCCUGCUGAAAUAACUGAAUGUUCAGUGUUGGAACAUAUAAGCUUAAACUAAAAUCCAUAUUAUGUAUAACAGAAUGAAUAUUGUGUUGGAAAAUAAUAGACAUGGCAAAAAGGGAGCGAUGAUCUCUUGCUUCCUUCGUCUUUCUCAUCAAAUUUUGAAUGUAUACGAAUCUUGCUGGUUAUAAGCAUGUGGGUGAAGAAGUUCUGUAUUGGGUCCCUUUAGCCUUUAGGCAAUGAAACUUAAGUUCACCCCUUUCUGUUUCUA